AGUGAACGCUGGCGGUAGGCCUAACACAUGCAAGUCGAACGGCAGCACAGUAAGAGCUUGCUCUUACGGGUGGCGAGUGGCGGACGGGUGAGGAAUACAUCGGAAUCUACUUUUUCGUGGGGGAUAACGUAGGGAAACUUACGCUAAUACCGCAUACGACCUACGGGUGAAAGCAGGGGAUCUUCGGACCUUGCGCGAUUGAAUGAGCCGAUGUCGGAUUAGCUAGUUGGCGGGGUAAAAGCCCACCAAGGCGACGAUCCGUAGCUGGUCUGAGAGGAUGAUCAGCCGCACUGGAACUGAGACACGGUCCAGACUCCUACGGGAGGCAGCAGUGGGGAAUAUUGGACAAUGGGCGCAAGCCUGAUCCAGCCAUACCGCGUGGGUGAAGAAGGCCUUCGGGUUGUAAAGCCCUUUUGUUGGGAAAGAAAAGCAGCAGGUUAAUACCCCGCUGUUCUGACGGUACCCAAAGAAUAAGCACCGGCUAACUUCGUG
rnacentral:rRNA from 1 species